CUCAACUGCGCUUAGCAUUAGCACGCCAUGCGUGGCCGUAAAGACUCACGGUAAAUACUCACCACUUCCAUUGGUACCAAUCACACAGUGGAACUGCUCAAAAGGACCAAGAACUCGCUUUCCUCGCCAAGACUUGAAAUUUUCAACGACAAUCUGCCUAAGACAAUCAUGGAAGAGUGUCAGUAAGGAUGAUCGCGGACAUAUUCCAUGAUGUGCUUCAAAGCGAGCCAGGUCUCAGAGGCAGUGGGGAUGAUCUGUGUGGCCGUGACUGGAGUCAGCAUGCAGACUGUGAAAGGUGGACUUACAGAUGAUUCGACAGAUGCUUCCGACCUUGUAGCGGGUGCCAUAGAGGGAUGUGAGUUUCUGCACCGCAGCUCUGCCAACAGCAUCCUAAAGGGGACACGAGGCUGUAUGUAAAAUAAUAGUUCUGCAGCAUUCAGGCACAAACUAUUUGGUGCUAAUAGUGGUGUUUUUUUUAGAAACAUGCUUGCAAUAGUCAGCACAAUAAUGUAAUGUAUUUACACAAGUACACUGAGGCUACAAGUCUCUUUGACAACCAUGGCGAGACAGUUUCAUACCAGCUCCGCCAUAUCAGGCACGUGGUUGCAGCUGUAGCCGUAUGGAUACAUGAGCAGCUGAGAAUAGGCAUGGACAGAGA